CCCUUCUGCAUCAACAGAAAUCUGCUAUAGUUGUGUGAUCCAGACUAUGUCUGUUUCAUGCAAUAAUGUUAGUGGAGUUACGGUGGAAGGAGAGGAUGUUGCACUAUACUGACAAUAAGAUGUGGUCGAACCUCUUUCUUAAUGUUCAUUGGCCUCUGUCUCAAGGUCUAGUGCCACACCA